rnacentral:rRNA from 1 species
UACAGAGGUGGCAAGCGUUGUUCGGAAUUACUGGGCGUAAAGGGCGAGUAGGUGGCCAUCUAAGUCAGACGUGAAAUCCCCCGGCUUAACCUGGGAACUGCGUCUGAUACUGGAUGGCUAGAGGUUGGGAGAGGGAUGCGGAAUUCCAGGUGUAGCGGUGAAAUGCGUAGAUAUCUGGAGGAACACCGGUGGCGAAGGCGGCAUCCUGGACCAAUUCUGACGCUGAGGAGCGAAAGCCAGGGGAGCAAACGGG